UGCAGCUCACUUCCCUGGCCACUUUCCAGCUCACACUCUCAAACACAUAGAUCCCCUGCACACAGCUCACUCUCCAGAUCCCAAUCAACCUAAUUCUGAUCACCUAUUCACACAACUGUAUAUCAUUAUCACACACUAUUUAGUUCAUUUCUUUGCACCCAAUCGUUGUGAAGUAUUGUUUGGUUUUGACACACUUCUAUUUGGAGCGCUGGUUUUCGCGUGACUUAAUCCUCCUAUGUAUGAUAGUUUUUGCCUGCCUCACUAACGAUGCCUUUUGCCUGUACUUUAGCCUGUACUUUAGCCUAUCAGAUUUCCUGUUAUCUACCUAUUUCCUGAUCUCCCGGACUACGUUUACUAGCCUUUUUGGACCACCUGUGUAUGACCUGCUGCCUGCCCCUGGACCCAGCUUCCUGCCUCCUGCUAUGUUCCUUUACAUUAAACAUCUGCUGUGCCCCUCGCUUGAAACCAGCUCUCUGUCUCCCUCGUGUUCGUCACAGAAAUGACAUGGAGCUGCUGGCCAUGAGGAUGGAGAUGACUGGACAGAUCAACGUGGAGGUGGACGCAGCACCACAGGACUGGUGCUGCGUGACCUGGAGUCCUGGUUCCAGACCACGACAGAGACGUUGAACAAGGAGGUGGCGUCCAGCACAGAGGUUCUCCAGACCUCCAAGUCAGAGAUUUCGGAGAUCCGUCGCACACUGCAGGGCCUGGAGAUUGAACUGCAGUCACAGCUCAGCAUGUAUCUCACUUUCACCUGGACUCUAACACUAUCCCUCAAGUUGUUGUAGCCAGGCACCACUCCAUCAGCAUGCCUCUGCCUCAGCUCCUGCAGCUCCGGCCCCAGCUCCUCCAACUCCACCACAAGCAAGAUGGUGAUUGUCACAGAGGAAAUGGUGGACUGCAAGGUGUAGGCAACGGGUUAACACCAUUGAAAUAUAAUUACUAGAAUGGGUAUAGGAAAUGAGAGGCCAGCACAUGGAAUAUUGCUGCUCCCCAUUGCUUUAUUCAUGCAACCUAAAAUACGUUUCAACUUAUACAAAGGGAAUAUUCACCUGAAACGACGAUCUUCAUUAUCUUUGUUAUUUGUUAAGGGCAGCUCUGUUUAACUCUAGUAUGGGGUGUCCAUACCAUCCUCCUAUUCUUUCUGGAAUGGCUCAAGCCCCUCAGACACCCAUCAUGGAACAUUGACUUCAAUGGGUUUUCUUUUCUGGUAAUUCUAUUUCUAUGCUUAACACCUCCAGAAAAACAUAUUCCACUACAUCUGGAUGGAACACCAACA